UUACGUUGUCUGGCCAGGAGGGUUCCAAUUCACAGCUUUCAGCACAGAACUCUGAAAAUCAACAGAUGACUCCUGUACAGAAAUUGCUUUCAAAGGCUGUUGUAAUGCCUAUUGGGGAUAUUAUAAAACUCAGAACUAUUACAUUUUGUGCGACUGUGGGAGAAACUAAAAUGCUGGUUGCCUCUCCGUAUGGCUGGUAUUAUCGUGGUUGUCAUGCUUGCUCAUGUAUUGCGCGUGGUGACAGAGCUCCGUUUGAGUGUAUAAGAUUGAGAUUGAGGUUACUCAUGCCGGGAAUAGCUGUAACUUUUUAUUUUGGGACCGAGAGUGUGAGUUACUUUUGGGAUUGUCUGCUUCUCAGCUGCGUCAUACAAUGAUUAAGGCUGGCAUUCAUGAUCCCUUGGAAUUCCCACUGGCAUUGGAUCAGAUGUUGGAUUGCAAGAUGGCUUUCAAAGUUAAGUGGCAACCACGUUGGAAGAAUGCCUC